UGUAGUGGUACAUGUCUGUAACCUUAGCACAUGGGAGGCUGAAGCAGGAGGACUGAAGCCAGCCUGGGCUACAAAGUAAGUUCAAAGCUGGCCUGAACUGCAUAGUGAGACCCUGUCUCAAAAAGACAAAAAAAAAGAAAAAAAAAGAGGAAGCCCCUGAGUGGGGGUGACUCCAUGUCCCUGACAGCCUUUCCUGAUCUUCAGUCUUCAGCAGGGAUGCUCACAGAGCUGGGCCAAAGCUUUCUACCUGGCUGUCCCCUGGAGAGCCCAUGAGGCAGGUGGGGAAGCCAGGGCCCCCAAGGGGUGGCCCAGGGGGUGGAGAGGAGGCUGAGAGCUGACCCCAGCCACUUGGGGACUCAGGGGACCUGCCUGUGAGCUGCCCUGCUGCCCCCUCCUCUGCUCCUCAAAACACCCCUGCCUAGGUCCCUCUUCAGGCCCAGUGACACUUCACUGCACCCUGGACAGCUUCCUCGGAUCCCUCAAGGUCAUGUAAAAGGUUGACCUCACUGCACUCAGCCCCUGUACCCAUGCCCCACCCCUAGGUCAUCAGACACCUCACCCAUAAGCCAGGCCCACUGCUCCUGUCUCUGAUUUUGUUUGCUUGUUUGUUUUGGUUUUUUGAGAUGCGUCCCACUAUGUUGUCCAGCCUGGCCUUGAAUCCAUGGCAGUCCUCCUGCCUCAGCCUCCUGAGUGUUGGAUUACAGCUUCCUGAGUGCUGGGAUUACAGUCAUGUACCACCAGGCCCCACUACAGAUGAUCCAAAUUUCAUGUCAUGUAUUUCUUUUUAAAAAUAAAAGGUGAUACCUGGA